rnacentral:lncRNA from 1 species
GGUUGUUGAGCUAUAGAACUAUGGUGUAGAAUGACACUUUCCUGUUAAAUCACGGUGGACUAAUAAAAUUUAAUUGCUACUUUUGUUGACACAAACUAGCAAUGACGUGGUCCCUACAAGUAGCGGGGUUAGAUUGUUAUAACAUUUAUUUCAUUUAUAUAGAAAUUUCGGAACCAAAGACUAAUUCCGUAAUUCCUGCGUACCAGGUUCAGUAUGGAACUUUUGUUUAUUUGUUCUUUUUUAUUUAUUUAAUACGUAUUUAUUUAUAUAAUAAUAAAUACCAAGAAAGGAUUGUUUCAUUUCGGUAUUAUUCCC